rnacentral:rRNA from 1 species
UCUACUGAAUUCUCUUCGGAGAUAGUAAGGUGGCGGACGGGUGAGUAACACGUAAAGACUUGCCCUGCAGUCUGGGACAACUAUUGGAAACGAUAGCUAAUACCGGAUAUUGCUGCAUGGCGAAAGCUGUAUGCGCUGCAGGAGAGCUUUGCGUCCCAUUAGUUAGUUGGUGAGGUAACGGCUCACCAAGACCGCGAUGGGUAGCCGGCCUGAGAGGGUGAACGGCCACAAGGGGACUGAGACACGGCCCUUACUCCUACGGGAGGCAGCAGUGGGGAAUAUUGGACAAUGGACCAAAGUCUGAUCCAGCAAUUCUGUGUGCACGAUGACGGUCUUAGGAUUGUAAAGUGCUUUCAAUCGGGAAAAAGAAAGUGAUGGUACCGAUAGAAGAAGCGACGGCUAAAUACGUGCCAGCAGCCGCGGUAAUACGUAUGUCGCAAGCGUUAUCCGGAUUUAUUGGGCGUAAAGCGCGUCUAGGCGGUCUGGUAAGUCUGAUGUGGAAAUGCGGGGCUCAACUCCGUAUUGCGUUGGAAACUGCCAGACUAGAGUACUGGAGAGGUGGGCGGAACUACAAGUGUAGAGGUGAAAUUCGUAGAUAUUUGUAGGAAUGCCGAUAGAGAAGUCAGCUCACUGGACAGAUACUGACGCUGAAGCGCGAAAGCAUGGGGAGCAAACAGGAUUAGAUACCCUGGUAGUCCAUGCCGUANACGAUGAUUACUA